rnacentral:tRNA from 1 species
GGGCCCAUAGCUCAGCUGGGAGAGCGCCUGCUUCGCAUGUAGGAGGUCAGCGGUUCGAUCCCGCUUGGGUCCAC